AGUUCGGAGAAAUUUCGAGAAGACGAAAAUACUCCGUUGAGAAUUCUUGAGUAGCUCGAUAACGAGUUUCGAAUAAACUAUUGAGAGAAACUGUGGUUCGAGGGGUUGACGACAGGGUCGUUUUACUCUUCAAUCUUUCGACGAGAAGAUGAGAUUAUAAAUGUAUUUAAAUUGAGAGAACAAAAGUACAGCUAGUAUCUCGUUCGAAUUUCAUUUGCAAUAUUCGUAUACGCAGCAUUUCUUUGAAGGAAGAGAAAAAGACGAAGAGAGAGAGAGAGAGAGAGAGAGAGAGAGAGAGAGAGAGAGAGAGAGAUCGCCUUACGAAAUAACGCAAAUUCGCAAGGCAAGCUGUAAAACGAUCCCACCAGGGAGCAAAGUACCAGUCUGAUAAGAGAAUGCAGGAACGAAAAGACCCCUAGUAAAGGACAUUGCGCCUGUAAGGAGAUCUCUUCGUGACCACGAGAACAAGUUUGUAGUGAGUUCGUGUAUGCAGGUAUAUAUCUAUCUACCCGGGAGCAAUCGUCGGUAGAAGGAUCCGCUACUUCUCGCGAAUUUACAUUCUUUUUUAAGACUCGACGGAGCAUGAAAUAUGCAAGGGUGGCAAGGCAUAUCGCAGGAAAGAAAACAAAGGUUCGCAAAUAAUUAGAUAAAAUUAAAUUUGAAGUUGCAUGAGAAUGAGAUAAAAAUAUUUUCUCUAUGGCAACAAAGAGUAAACUAUUUUAAACUCAAUAAAUUAUCUCCGACAACGUAACAACGUUUCUGCACAAUUUUAAAAUCAUUCUCUUCUUGAGAUACCCACGCUCGCUUGCGAAUGGAGGAGAAACAUAGUCGGGAAUAUCUAUUUGCUUGUAUCAUGAAUGAUGUUACGUCGGGGCAAACACGGUUGGCAAAAUUUUAUUGUCGAGACGCGAGCAAUUUUCUCUUUGUUGAAUGUUCGUUUGAUAUAGAAUCGACGACUACAUCGAGAAUCGUACACGUGCACGAUUAAGUGACCUCUUCUCACGGAUAUGAAUUUAAAAUACUAUUCUCGAUUGAUAAAAUGGCAAAUAAGUGUUACUAUUGAGCGUUCUUUCUCUGUUAGAUCGAGAAUAUGAACGAUAAGGAAAAAUUCUUUCGAAAGGGAUAAAAGAAAAGGCAUUUCGUCUAGCGAAAUGGAAAUGAAUCCUUUGCGGCUAGAGCUUUGUCGAGUAAAUUUUUCCGAGCGAAGAGGUAGAUUUCACACUGUUUGUUACCGAGUGCCCCAUCCCCAAGGCAAUGGCAUAGCGAAAGCGAGAAAGAAAGCGAGGUGAACAGAUAGACAAAGAGAGAGAGA